AUUGAACGCUGGCGGAAUGCUUGACACAUGUAAGUCGAACGGCAGCACGGGUGCUUGCACCUGGUGGCGAGUGGCGAACGGGUGAGUAAUACAUCGGAACGUACCCAGUCGUGGGGGAUAACGUAGCGAAAGUUACGCUAAUACCGCAUACGUCCUGAGGGAGAAAGCGGGGGACCGUAAGGCCUCGCGCGAUUGGAGCGGCCGAUGGCGGAUUAGCUAGUUGGUGGGGUAAAGGCCUACCAAGGCGACGAUCCGUAGCGGGGCUGAGAGGACGGCCCGCCACACUGGAACUGAGACACGGUCCAGACUCCUACGGGAGGCAGCAGUGGGGAAUUUUGGACAAUGGGCGAAAGCCUGAUCAAGCCAUUCCGCGUGAGUGAAGAAGGCCUUCGGGUUGUAAAGCUCUUUCGGCAGGGAAGAAACGGCUUGGGAUAAUACCCCGGGCUAAUGACGGUACCUGAAGAAGAAGCACCGGCUAACUACGUGCCAGCCGCCGCCGUAA
rnacentral:rRNA from 1 species